GAUUUCUGGUCUGGUGCGCCUGGCCCGCGCCUCUUAGGUUGUGAGUGCCGGGUCGCGCCUGCCAUCCUUCUAGAGACCCUCUCUACCCUUCACUGGGCCGGAGACGGGCUUUCUAGAUCUUUUACUUUGAAAAAAUUAGAGUGUUUCAAGCAGGCUUUAUGCUAUGAAUACAUUAGCAUGGAAUAAUAAUUUAGGACUUCGGUUCUAUUUUGUUGGUUUCUAGGACUGAAGUAAUGAUUGAUAGGGAUAGUUGGGGGUGCUAGUAUUCAGCGGCCAGAGGUGAAAUUCUCGGAUUCGCUGAAGACUAACUUAUGCGAAAGCAUU
rnacentral:rRNA from 1 species